rnacentral:lncRNA from 1 species
CUGAGCAGCUCAUCAACCCCUUCGGAGAGGACGAUGAUGACUUUGAGACCAACUUUCUGAUCGAUAGAAACUUCCAGGUGUCCAUGCUGGCAGUGGACGAGAUGUAUGAUGACCUGGCUGUGCUGGAGAAGGACUUGUACUGGGAUGCAGCCGAGGCUCGCGCCCCAUACACAGCGGCUACUGUCUUCCAGCUGCGGCAGCCUUCCUUCCAGGGCUCCACCUUUGACAUCACGUGAGCCAGUUGGGUGGGCAGGGCCGCCUGGGGCAGGGCUUAUGGCUCUGCGGGGCACAUCUGAUUGAAAAGGUUAAGUGGAAUCAAUUCUGGAGAUGGGGAUAAGAGCUAAAGUCUCAGGACUGUGAUAACGCCAGAAGCUAAGAUAGGAGUCAGGGGACAAGGUCAAGGUCUGAGACUGGGCCACUGACUGGGGACAGAGCUAAGGGCUGAGGUCAGCGAGGAUCAGACCGGUCAGUGGUGAUUCCAAAGGAGAUGAGGGCUGAGGCCAGGAGCACUGGCUCACGCCUGUAAUCCCAGUACUUUGGGAGGCUGAGGCAGGAGGAUCCUUUGAGCAAGCCCAGGAGUUCAGACCAGCCUGGGCAACAUAGUGAGACCCCCGUCUCUACUAAAAAUAAAAAAUUAGCCAAG